AUGAUUGUUACCGCUCUAGUAAUUGGGAUAUAUUAGAUAGGGAUUGGGUUUGGUAAUCUUCAAUUGAUAAUCGUAUGAUAACCUCUCGUUGUUAAUCAAUCAGAGUACUUAGUCCUCUUUUAUCACAAUCAGUUAAAUCAGAUUAUACAGUUAUGUCUAUGUAAUUGUAAACAAUCCAACACAAACCGAAUUUACUUUGAAUCUGAAAUCCGGAGGAAACAUUGUUCUCUCCCAUUUCUUACAACUUCGUAUUUUCGUAAUCUGCUAGUUAAUGAACUCUCAAACAAACAAGAUUUACUUUUUCUACAAUAGUUGAUCAACACUUGACAUAACGACACUUUCCACAAUCCUCCUCCGGUUCGAUAUCCGACUUAUCAUAUCUACAUAGUUUAGUUGGUUUUUGCAUGUUCUUAACGACAGGCAUCACAAAACGUGUAACAAAAUUCUCUAUAAAGGGCAAAACCUGUCAAAAUUCAAAAAAUACACCGCCUGAAAUAUGGUAUCAAGAUAAAGAACAAAACUUGUAAUUUUUCCUUAGAAAUAUAUAAUUUUUGUUCAUCGAAAACCUUGUUUGUUUUUGCAAAACGUGCAUGUCUUUCCACCCCGAAAAAAUUUAUAAAAAUGUAAAACUGUAAAAAGGUGGGGUUAUGAACUCACCUCGAUAUCCUCGUGCAAAGCUAGAUUAAUAUAUCCAUAAAGUCGUUUCCAAACGCGUAAACUCGCUAGUGUGCAAUCUAUAACAUUCCUAACACGGAAUAUCUUAUAAGCUUCUAAAUAAAUGUGGUAGAUAUACUACGUGUUACCGAGCUCUACCGAAUCGUUAACCGAAUGAUUCGACGGUAAGUUGUUAACUUAAUGGAAACGAUUAAGUUAUACUUGUUAAGUUCCAUUUAAUGUCGGUAAUAAUUACUAAGUUCUGAAAAUACUU
rnacentral:lncRNA from 1 species